GAAAAGAGUCGUACCCUUGCCCUCGUGGCCCAUAAAGCAAACGUGUGCAGAUCUACCCUGUGCGCCUUUCCACUCCCCUCUUCCUUCCCUUCCCUCCGCCCACAUACACGCAUACAGCGGGCGGCCAUAAAGAGAAGCUGCAAAGAAUAAGAGACUCAGAAAAAAAGUGCGCACGUGCCCGUAGGUGCGCCAUCUUUUGUCAUCGCCCGCCCGCCCCCAUCCUUGUGCUUGAUCGUUUCUUCUCAUCCUCCUCUUCCUCGUUCUCGUUUUCUCUCUUGGGUCAACGACGGUGGACACAUCGUGGAGAAGGCGAAGCGAUCGUGACUUCCUUUCUUUCUCUCUGGUAAGAGCACACCUUCAUUGCCAUUCGACAGUCAUAUAGACUCUUCACUUCAUAGACUCUCCCGUCUACGUCUUUUUCGUUCUUGUCUUCUAUUUUUCCACCCUUUCACCUUCACGUAAGCGACAGCUCUUCGGCAGACAGACACGCGCGAGUACUCGGCCCCUCCUUGUUUAUAUUGCUUGAUCUAUCCAACCCCUUUGUAUUGUUUGUCGAGCCUUUUUUGGUUUUCAUCGGCACACACAUUCAGACACCCAGCUUCAUGAUGAACGUCAAGCAGGCAAAGGCGUGGGAGGACAUCUCCCUGUGCCGCUCCGUGUCCACCAUCAGCAGCUCUGCCUCCACCGCUGAGGCCACAGCUGGUAACGAUGUGUCUUCGUUCCUGUUUGAAGACUACCGCGAUGAUGCCUUUUCUACCAAGUCCCGCUGCAAGCACUGGCUGUCGGUGGGCCACCUGGGCCUCACCACCACCGAUGCGGAGCUCAAGUCUCUCUUUUACCCGUACGGCGCCGACGAGGCUUUCACAGCGUGGGAGGGGGCGAUCAUGACGGGAUUUGUCGGGUUCGACUCACCCGAGAUGGCGGACCUGGCAGCGCAGAAAAUGCACGCCUUCGUUCCUCGGGGGCAGUCGCAGGCGCUGACGGUGCACGCGGUGACACUGGAGGAGGUGUCGCAGGCCCACUCCAAGAGUCCAAAGUCGUUGCUGGCGGCGCUGUGCAGUGAGUGCCCCACGCAGGGUAUCAGCGCCAUGAUUAGGCGCAGCAAGUCCCCUGUGGCCGUGGCCAGGGACGUGGCGAUGGAGGUGGCGCGCGCCUCUCCGGUGAUUCUGCAGCGUCUCUUGGCGGCCUUGUCUGACCUCUCCCCGCAGUGGUUCGGCUUCGCCUCCUUUACCGAGGAGCUACUCAAGUCACUACUGGGGUUGCUGCUGGAGGCAGGCGAGCUGAAUGCUGCGCAGACCAUCAACUGCGGCACCGUGGCUGGUAAUCUCUUCCAGAUGAAAAUGACCACCGGCGACCCGUACUACCUGGCCGGACGACUGCUGCUAAAGGCUGGGCACAGGCUGGGGCAGCUCGAGGGCAUUUGCGCGCUGGCGCACACAUGCGCGAUGAUCCCUAACUGCCACAUGUCUAGGGCUUCUUUCUGGGCUCAGGUGGCGGAUAUCGCCACGAAGGUGACGGACCCGGAAGCGAGCCAUGCCCUCCUCGGUCACCUCCGCCGUUACACCAAGACAAGUGCACACGUAGCAACCACUGCCACCAGUUUGCUGUCGUCAUCUGUAUCGUCUCCGUCGGUGUUCUCGACGAUGCCGUGUGCCCCUGCAACCGCGACGCAGCAGCAGUUGGUACGCCAGCUCGUGCCUCUACAGUACCCGCGUCAGGACGAGAUGAAGCGCCGCACCAUCUACGUUUCUCACUUGCCUGGCCUCCUGCCGCAGAGCAUGUUGCUUGAGCUCCUCACCACAGCUGGCCCUGUCAACAAGGUGCGCAUCUGCGCCGGAGCUGGCUACUGCACGCUGUUUGCCUUUGUGGAGAUGCGCACACUGGAGGGGGCGCAGCGGGCCAUGUGCAUGAACGGCCUUCAGCUGAUGGGGUUUGCCAUCCGUGUGCAGACGGCCCGAAACGCGGUGCAGGACGUGCUCGAGGAGGAUGCACGAUUCGACGCGAAUGGGGCUUUGAUUCAGCCCUGCCUCUUUGGCGUGUCUCAGGCCCCACUGUCCAAGUGCCUGAGCCCCGCCGAAUGGAUCCACUGAUGCACAUGCGCGAUAGUUGGCUCGUUUUGGUGCCGCCUACACCUCCUUCAAAGGGGGGUUCCGCCCACGCCUUGAUACCUUCGCACACCAAUGGCACGGGUGCACUUACAGCGGCGCGCGAAUGUGCGCUUGUGCGUCUUUCUUGCUCUCUCCCUGUUCUGCUGAACGCGCCACACGUUUCUUCUUCCCAGUGGAACGACGUCGCCGGCUGCCACACUCUUUUCCGUAUGGCCGGUCAUUUGCAGCGGCCGAGUUGGCGGGACAAGAGUGAAGGACGGAGUCGGUGCGCAGUUGCCGGGUGUGGGUGUCGUAUUGCAUUGCGGAUGAGGUGCAGCCUGGCGCUCAUCGCGUGACGAUGUCUUGUGCACUAUUACUGGAUUUAAUUCUCGCAUGUGGAUGGCUUGGUGUGGCCUGCCAGUAACGCUUGCUUUCCUUUUUUUUUCGGUUUAGUGCAUCUUCGAUCCGUGAGACAUGCUGGCGUCUUCCUGGGCAGGCGCGCAGAGGAGAGAGGGCAGAGGGACGUGGCCUGUGUGCUGUAACUGGGUGGGUCUUGGCGUCAAGAGUGUGGCAUGUAUGGAUGUGGAGAAGAAUUGGCCUCAUGCUGUGUCCCAUAAAAACACAGACGGUAUGGUAGCCGCGGUGCCAGCUACAUCUCUUUCAUCUCCCUCUUAUACACCCUUCCUCCUCCCUCGCGCGCGCACACACGAAGACGGUUCACAAAGGCACACCAACGCAGCGGAAGUGUGUCGCCCCUUUCCCCCGUCACAUGUCACGUGCUCAUUUCUUUUUGUUUUGCUGUUGUUUUCUUUUUUCCAUGUGUCUUGCAGGGGUGAUGCACGAUAGAAAACUCGCAUCUUCAAUUAUGCUGGUUUCUCUCUCGUUCUCUUUUCCACUGCAGCCGCCUCCCAUUCGUGUAUCAUAGAAGUUUGUCUGUCUCCGUGUUUUUUUUUUGUCUCUCUGGCGUCUCUUCUCAACGCAGCUGUGUUGAACGCACACCGGCGCGUGAUGAGGUCAUUUGCUUGCUCGUUCUCCCCCUUUUUUUUUGGAGGGGACUCGAAGAUUCUCUUGCGCGUGCCCAUAGAUACCUUUUCACCCCCUCCUCCGACUGCACUAGCCCACAAGCACGCACACAUGCACUAUACAUGUGAGAGAGAGAGGAAGGUUGAACGCUGAGGAGCGGGGGGCACUGUUUCACAACGUCUUUCCCGCCCUCCCGCUGUCGAGUCUAGCGUAUGGCAGGCCUGGCACUCUCCGCGGCCGACCUCACCAGACUCGCACUCUCACCACAGCGGCGAGAGUAGGAACGAAAGAGGCGUCGAGUGCCGUUGAGGGCGGCCGUUUGGUUUUGUUGUCAUCUGCGCUUUUGCUUUGUUUGCCACGCCCUCUGCCGCUUUCUUGUUGUUGUUUCACCACGUUUUAUAGAUCGACGCUUCGCCACCCCUCCUUUUUUCUUUCCGUGCGCUGCCUUGCAUCUGAACGCGCUCGGUGAAAGCGUCUUCACCCUCCCUUCUUCCCGCGCUCCUGGCUCUCCUUGCCUUCCCCCUUCCCAUCGGUGAAUGCGGCGAGACAUGUACGCGGCCAAAGACAAGACGGCGUGGUUUCAGGUUGGCGUUUUAUGUGUGCUUGUGUUUCUAGUUUUUUUUUCUUUUGGCGUUCACCGACCCCCUCUUCGUCUGCUCGCUCUUUCCUGUGGGGUGAGCUGUGCCAUUGCGCAUGUGCGUGCAUGCUGUGACCAGCGCGGACAGAUGAGGGAGAGGGGGGAGGGGGGCGCCUCCGCACCCGUUGUCUUAUUGCCUUUUUCCCAUUUCGCGCUGCUUGGGCACUCACUAAAAAUAGCAAAAAACAGAAGAGAGCGAGAGACGCAGCAGCUGCGCGUAUCCCCAUCAGUACAACUCGCUUGUCAUUUUUAUAUCCCUUUCUCGUAUCUGCAUUACUUCGCACUCCUUGUUCUGUACAGCUUCCGUUUCGCCUCCAUCUCGGGCUCCGCUACCCUGCACGCUCCGCCCGUCACCUGCAGCGGUUUCUCUGUGCUCCCAAUUUGAACUUCACAUGUGCGGCUGCUCGACUCGUUUCUCCCACGCGAUUGCUCCCUCCCGCUCUAUUUUUUUUCUUUUCCUCUUCAGAGUGCCUUUCUGUUUUGUUCUCUGCCUCUCCUACCCUUCUCACGCCCCUAUCGCCGUGCGUUGCUGGCGGCGACUGGGGGAGAGAGAGGGUGGGGGCGGGAGGGGCGGCGAUGGGCAAACACGCCCACAUUCAAUAGAACCACACUUUCUUUCCUCCAUUUUCUCUAUAUAUCUCCCUGCCUUAUUGUUUUUUUUUUCCUUUCGUGCUUGGCAAGCGCGUGCGUGGGCGUUCGUGUUUGCGCUCUUUUUUUCUUCGUGGUUGCUGUGAGCUCGAUCCGCAGUGGACUCAUUGCCUGGAGCUUCUGCUAUGCAGCCAUCUCCACCAGCGUGCUCUCACGCUAUCGCUCGCCGCCGUUCACUCCUCUCUCUCGCGCCACUCAUUUAUGAGUGCUUGCCUCCCUUCUAGAGUGUUUAGGGCAGAAGGUAGUAGAAAAGGGCAGCGAUGGGGAACCGGGCAGACGCCGUUGUGCACCGUCGAAGAAAGCGCGCGAAUGCAUGUCACAGGUUGGUGCGCAGACGAGGAGGGGGCACAUACAAGAUUCUCGAAGCAAGCCGCAAAAUCACGUGCUUCCUAUGCCAUGUAGACGGCACGUCCCUUCCCUUCCUGCGUCUCUGCCUUUCUUUCCACUGCGGGUGGGAGAAGAUGACGGGCCUUGAUUCAUCUGUAUUUGUGUUCGUGUUCCCUCCAUUACGAUACGAGCGGCGCGUUACGACCACCGCCGUUACCACUUGUGCAGAAAAAAAAAGCAGCGGACUUCACACGCAUGCG
rnacentral:misc_RNA from 1 species